rnacentral:lncRNA from 1 species
GAAGUGUUUGCUUUACCUUCCACCAUGACUCCAAAUUCUUCUUAUUUCUAUCCCCUUCAUUAUCCUUGGUGGAGAAUCUAAUGAGCAGUGAAAUGUCCAAAAUAUAGGAAUCUGGAAGAAGUGAAGAUCCUUAAUAAGUCAGCAUGAGAAAGUCAGUUCCUGCUAAUGUUUCCUGAAACAAACCAAAGGAGUCAAUCAUCAGAAAUAGAAGCAGAGGAAGCAGUAACUCAUUCUAUGAGGCCAGCAUUACACAAAUAUGAAAACUAAACAAAGACAUUGAAAGAAGAAAACUAUAGAACACUAUCAGUCAUGAACACAGAUCCAAAAUUCCUCAACAAAAUAUCAGCAAAUGGACUCCAACACUGUAUAAAAAUAAUUAUAUACCAUGACCAAGUACAAUUUGUUCAAGGUAUGUAUGCAAGGCUGGGUUAAUAUGAAUGAUCAAUUAAUGUAGUUGAUCAUAUCAACUGGCUAAAGAAUACAUAUCAUAUGAUUAUAUAAAUAAAUGUGAUGCAGAGAAAGCACUUGACAAAAUCCAACACUACAUACAUGAUGAGAAAUUUUCAGCCAAUUAGAAAGAGAGAGGGACUUUUUUUAUCUUAGUAAAUAAUAUCUACAAAAACUCUAAGCUAACAUCAUUAAUGAGGAGAAGCUAAAUGCUUUCCUCCUAAGUUUGGGAGCAAGACAAGGGUAUCUCUUCUUUGAUUCCUAUUCAACAGUGUGCUGGGAGUUCUAGUUAAUGUAAUAAGAUAAAAAAUGGAAAUAAAAUCU